rnacentral:rRNA from 1 species
GACGAACGCUGGCGGCGUGCUUAACACAUGCAAGUCGAGCGGAAAGGCCCUUUCGGGGGUACUCGAGCGGCGAACGGGUGAGUAACACGUGAGUAAUCUGCCCUUGGCUUUGGGAUAACUACCGGAAACGGUGGCUAAUACCGGAUACGACUGCUCCCGGCAUCGGGGGUGGUGGAAAGUUUUUUCGGCCAGGGAUGUGCUCGCGGCCUAUCAGCUUGUUGGUGGGGUAAUGGCCUACCAAGGCUUCGACGGGUAGCCGGCCUGAGAGGGUGACCGGCCACACUGGGACUGAGACACGGCCCAGACUCCUACGGGAGGCAGCAGUGGGGAAUAUUGGACAAUGGGCGGAAGCCUGAUCCAGCAACGCCGCGUGAGGGAUGACGGCCUUC